AUUGAACGCUGGGCGGCAGGCUUAACACAUGCAAGUCGAGCGGUAACACUUCGGGUGACGAGCGGCGGACGGGUGAGUAAUACAUAGGAAUCUGCCUAGUAGUGGGGGAUAACGUAGGGAAACUUACGCUAAUACCGCAUACAUCCGUACGGGGGAAAGCAGGGGAUCUUCGGACCUUGCGCUAUUAGAUGAGCCUAUGUCGGAUUAGCUAGUUGGUGGGGUAAAGGCUCACCAAGGCGACGAUCCGUAGCGGGUCUGAGAGGACGACCCGCCACACUGGAACUGAGACACGGUCCAGACUCCUACGGGAGGCAGCAGGUGGGGUAAUUUUGGACAAUGGGGGCAACCCUGAUCCAGCCAUUCCGCGUGAGUGAAGAAGGCCUUCGGGUUGUAAAGCUCUUUCAGCAGGAACGAAACGGUGGUCCCUAAUACGGACUACUAAUGACGGUACCUGAAGAAGAAGCACCGGCUAACUACGUG
rnacentral:rRNA from 1 species